AUAGAACGCUGGCGGCAGGCCUAACACAUGCAAGUCGCGCGAGCGGCGGACGGGUGAGUAAUGCCUGGGAAUUGCCCAGUCGAGGGGGAUAACAGUUGGAAACGACUGCUAAUACCGCAUACGAUUGGAUUGCCCAGGUGGGAUUAGCUAGUUGGUGAGGUAAUGGCUCACCAAGGCGACGAUACCUAGCUGGUCGGAGAGGAUGGUCGGCCGCACGGGAACUGAGACACGGUCCAGACUACUACGGGAGGAAGCAGUGGGGAAUAUUGCGCAAUGGGGGAAACCCGGUGGCAGCGAUGCCGCGUGUGUUGAGGAGGCCUUCGGGUUGUAAAGCACUUUCAGCGAGGGGGCGAUACUCGCACAAGAAGCACCGGCUAACUCCGUGACAGACGCCGCGUUAAUUC
rnacentral:rRNA from 1 species